rnacentral:lncRNA from 1 species
CCCAACUGAAUUACUAUCCUUACUAACUAAUAUUUACAUUCAUCCCAAUUGUUACCCGUUCUUAGUUAUGAUGGAAUAAUGAUUCCAGCAACAAAUAAAAGUUCACUAUAACGCGCACCAAGAGUGACUCAAAAUAGCAGUCUCCUCCCAAGCUUGUGCAUGGGGAAAAGAUAAAUUUUCACGGCUAUCUGCAAUAUUUGAUGCAAGACUUUGUAGCUUAUAUCAAUGGUAUAGCUGCAACAUUUUUACCUUGUGUACGUCAUUCAAACAGUUAGCCUCUUGUAUCAAUAGUAUAGCUGCAAGAUUUUACCUUGUGUCAUCCAAACAGUUAGUCAGAAGCAACUGGGCUAACUCAAGCUAACAACAACUUGAUAGAAUAUCAAUACCUAAUGAAUAUUGUAGAAGGAAUAAUCACCGAUCAAUGUAAUCAAGAACUCAAGAAGAAAAACAAAUGUGCAUGUAGACAGGAUAGUCUUUGAUUAUUAGUAGGGGCUUGGCAUCAGGUUUCCUAACCUACCUAAGACACAAAGAUUAAGCAACUCACAACAAUGAAACUCAACUUAAACUCCACAAAAUCCUACAACUAAUAGGAAUACUUGAGGAGAUAACAAACCUUCAAGAAUUGUUCAGCUAAAAGUGUAUAGGUUCAUCAAAGUUUUAGCUCAUUCAACGGUCCUUCUUAAAGUGCUCCAGUUGAAUUCUUUUUAGUAUUGAGAAUAAGCUAAGAAGGAAGACAAAGAAUUUAAGGCAACAAAGUUACUGAUCUCAAUAGAAAAUUAGUGAUUGAAAAUGACAAGUUCAACUAAUAAAAAACUACCGAGCUGAAUAUCUAACAUGAGAUUUGCCUUAUAUAUACAUACAUGUAGGAAAGGUAAAAAAUAAAUAAAAGACAAACAUACCUGCUGAAAAUGUUCAGAAUCAUAACAACAGUAUUGCAAGCAUU